GACAGAGGAUGCAAGCGUUAUCCGGAAUGAUUGGGCGUAAAGCGUCUGUAGGUGGCUUUUUAAGUCUGCCGUCAAAUCCCAGGGCUUAACCCUGGACAGGCGGUGGAAACUACCAAGCUGGAGUACGGUAGGGGCAGAGGGAAUUUCCGGUGGAGCGGUGAAAUGCGUAGAGAUCGGGAAGAACACCAACGGCGAAAGCACUCUGCUGGGCCGACACUGACACUGAGAGACAAAAGCUAGGGGAGCGAAUGGG
rnacentral:rRNA from 1 species